UACGUAGGGGCCGAGCGUUGUCCGGAGUUACUGGGCGUAAAGCGCGCGCAGGCGGCUCGUCAAGCCUGACGUGAAAGCCCCCGGCUCAACCGGGGAGGGUCGUCGGGGACUGGCGGGCUUGAGGUCGGCAGGGGUUGGUGGAAUUCCGGUGUAGUGGUGAAAUGCGUAGGAGAAUCGGGAGGAACACCCGUGGCGAAGGCGGCCGAACUGGGCCGGACCUGACGGCUGAGGCGCGAAGGCGUGGGGAGCGAACGGG
rnacentral:rRNA from 1 species